rnacentral:rRNA from 1 species
GUCUACAGCCAUACCAUCCUGAACAGGUCUGAUCUUGUCUAAUCUCAGAAGCCAAGCAGGGUCAGGCCUGGUUAGUACUUAGAGGGGAGACAAAGAAUAAUAUCGUUUCUACAUACA